GGACCCAGGAAUGAGUCUUGUUAAAUUUUGUCAGGAAGCUGUUAAAGAUCUGAAGGCAACCUUAGGGAAGUUGGAUGGUAAUGAAAUUGAAGUAGUUCCAGAAGGCGAGAAAACCUUGGGGGCUGGUGAUUCACCUUUGGUGGACAGUUCAACAGGGCUUGAUGAGAGACCUGGUCCGUCCCACUUGUCUGUGCCAUAUCCAGGUUCAAUGCUUAUAGAUUGUGAUGAGACUGACUUACCUCCCCACAAGAAAUAUCGUCGAAUGACGUGAGUUGUAUGCCCCCAGUGGUAGUGGAAGAUGUGACUCCCAGUGACAAACAAAACUGUGUGGGUGGGCAAUAAACUUAAAUGCGCUGUCGUUAACUAGAGCUGGUGUUUCUGAACAUUAUGUGGAAAGAACCUUGAAAAUGCCUUAAAGAUAAAGAACUAUGCAAAUAAUAAUUUA